UACGGGGGGGGCAAGCGUUGUUCGGAAUUACUGGGCGUAAAGGGCUCGUAGGCGGCCAACUAAGUCGGAUGUGAAAUCCCCAGGCUCAACUUGGGAACUGCAUCCGAUACUGGAUGGCUUGAAUCCGGGAGAGGGAUGCAGAAUUCCAGGUGUAGCGGUGAAAUGCGCAGAUAUCAGGAGGAACACCGGUGGCGAAGGCGGGUCUCUGGGCCGUAACUGACGCUGAGGAGCGAAAGCAUGGGGAGCGAACAGG
rnacentral:rRNA from 1 species